CAGUAUCAAUUUUUGAUGGAGCCCAAUUAUUUAUCAGUAAUGAGCCGCCCAGUUUAUUAAUUAAUGUUUUUGGACUUCCGACUUUAAAGCAAGCCAUUAUUGUUUAUUUCAUUUAAGCCACUGGUUUAUUUAAUUAAUUGACUACUCUCUUUUGAGCCUAUUAAUUAUUUGAGGUUACGCUAGUAAUGAUGUUUCUAUCGAAAAGCUCGAUAAUUUCUACAAUGUCACACCUCGUUUAAAGCCGAGUUAGUCAUUUUUCAAUCAAGUACAAAUGCGAGGUUUAUUUCACGACUAGAAUAUUCCGAUGAGGAAGGAAGAAUCACAGUUUUAUUCGACCGCGCUAGACGAGAAUUAGCUAAAUCUAUUAAUGAGGAUUAAUAGUAGAAUUCCCAAUUAUCGCUCAAAAGAUUAGUUCAUGCAUACCAGAUUCAUGCAUAGUUAAUUACGCUUUCUCAUUAAUUGAGAAUUUUCCUCGAGGCAAUGUCUUAUUUUACAUUCUCAUGAUUAAGGUCAAGCGCGAGAGUAAGAACUAUUCAAGAAGUCACAGUACCUUAGCAAAACUUUGCUAUCAGGUUGAGUUGUGAUGGGCGAUGAAGUGUUGCUGAGUGGAGUUUUUGUCGAACUUAAAGUAGGCUCAGAAAGGAUACAUGUCUUCAUACAUGUAUCACAGUUAUGUUUUCCGCUGUAAACACUGAUUAUUUCAGUUACGCCUUCCGUUGCAAACUCUGAUAAUGUUUUAGCCAAGCCCCUAAUGAUGCCUUUUUCCUUUUAAGGAAUAUAACGCGUAUACAAGUUCUUUGAGUA